UACAGAGGGUGCGAGCGUUAAUCGGAAUUACUGGGCGUAAAGCGUGCGUAGACGGUUAUUUAAGUCGGGUGUGAAAGCCCCGGGCUCAACCUGGGAAUUGCAUUCGAGACUGAAUAGCUAGGGUACGGUAGAGGGAAGUGGAAUUUCCGGUGUAGCGGUGAAAUGCGUAGAUAUCUGGAGGAACACCGGUGGCGAAGGCGGCAUCCUGGACCGGCAUUGACGCUGAGGCGCGAAAGCUAGGGGAGCAAACGGG
rnacentral:rRNA from 1 species